GCUUCUCCUUCUGCCAUGAUUUUCCCCUAUAUUCUCACCAGUAACUAAAAGCAACUUUUGUCAAACAAAGGAGAUAAACAUCUGGGUUACUAUGGCUUCUGGGAGCCUUCUGCAUUCCGUGGUUUGGGUCCCUUUCCUCCAUCUUCAAAACCAGUCUAACAGCAUUUUCAUAUCUCUAUGAUACUAAUUUCCUCUUUUUUGAGGCAUAAACAUAUUUUCAUUGAAAAUCGUGAAGAAUUGAGAAGGAAAGGAGUCUGAAAUUUUAAAUGGUGAGAUUCUACAAGUCAUCAGGUUCUUUCUUGCUGGCUAAGCCCUAACCUCUGGAAUUCAUAAUCGGAGGACCUCAUAAGGAUUAUGGAAACAGAAUUUCAUGGUAAAAUAAGUGGAAGUGCUAAAUUCUCAAGGAAACAUUAACCUUUAACAGUGGUUGCUUCUAAAGUUCCAAACAUAAGGUUAUAAUUCUGAGAGGAAUAGAAGGAAGAAAAACUUUUGUCCCUAAAUUUUCCACUUUUCUCCUCGUUCUCUUGUCCACACCAUAUGGCUAGACAUGACCACU
rnacentral:lncRNA from 10 species